rnacentral:rRNA from 1 species
UGGGGAAUAUUGGACAAUGGGGGCAACCCUGAUCCAGCAAUGCCGCGUGUGUGAAGAAGGUUUUCGGAUUGUAAAGCACUUUCGGCGGGGACGAUGAUGACGGUACCCGCAGAAGAAGCCCCGGCUAACUUCGUGCCAGCAGCCGCGGUAAUACGAAGGGGGCUAGCGUUGCUCGGAAUGACUGGGCGUAAAGGGCGUGUAGGCGGUUUGUACAGUCAGAUGUGAAAUCCCCGGGCUUAACCUGGGAGCUGCAUUUGAUACGUGCAGACUAGAGUGUGAGAGAGGGUUGUGGAAUUCCCAGUGUAGAGGUGAGAUUCGUAGAUAUUGGGAAGAACACCGGUGGCGAAGGCGGCAACCUGGCUCAUGACUGACGCUGAGGCGCGAAAGCGUGGGGAGCAAACAGGAUUAGAUACC